rnacentral:rRNA from 1 species
AGCCGCGGUAAUACGUAGGUGGCAAGCGUUGUCCGGAUUUAUUGGGCGUAAAGCGAGCGCAGGCGGAAAGAUAAGUCUGAAGUGAAAGCCCCCGGCUUAACCGGGGAACUGCUUCGGAAACUGUCCUUCUUGAGUGCAGAAGAGGAGAGUGGAACUCCAUGUGUAGCGGUGGAAUGCGUAGAUAUAUGGAAGAACACCAGUGGCGAAGGCGGCUCUCUGGUCUGCAACUGACGCUGAGGCUCGAAAGCAUGGGUAGCGAACAGGAUUAGAUACCCUGGUAGUCCAUGCCGUAAACGAUGAGUGCUAGGUGUUGGGGACUUUCCGGUUCUCAGUGCCGCAGCUAACGCAAUAAGCACUCCGCCUGGGGAGUACGACCGCAAGGUUGAAACUCAAAGGAAUUGACGGGGGCCCGCACAAGCGGUGGAGCAUGUGGUUUAAUUCGAAGCAACGCGAAGAACCUUACCAGGUCUUGACAUCCUGCGCCAAGCCUAGAGAUAGGCCGUUCCCUUCGGGGACGCAGAGACAGGUGGUGCAUGGCC